rnacentral:rRNA from 1 species
CAGCCGCCGCGGUAAUACGUAGGGUGCGAGCGUUGUCCGGAAUUAUUGGGCGUAAAGGGCUCGUAGGCGGUUUGUCGCGUCGGGAGUGAAAACUCAGGGCUUAACCCUGAGCCUGCUUCCGAUACGGGCAGACUAGAGGUAUGCAGGGGAGAACGGAAUUCCUGGUGUAGCGGUGAAAUGCGCAGAUAUCAGGAGGAACACCGGUGGCGAAGGCGGUUCUCUGGGCAUGUCCUGACGCUGAGGAGCGAAAGUGUGGGGAGCGAACAGG